UAAUCGCGGAUCAGCAUGCCGCGGUGAAUACGUUCCCGGGCCUUGUACACACCGCCCGUCACACCAUGGGAGUUUGUAACGCCCAAAGUCGGUGGCCUAACCUUUAUGGAGGGAGCCGCCUAAGGCGGGACAGAUGACUGGGGUGAAGUCGUAACAAGGUAGCCGUAGGAGAACCUGCGGCUGGAUCACCUCCUUUCUAAGGAA
rnacentral:rRNA from 1 species